UGGCCUAAAGGAUAAGGCGCCUGACUUCUGAUCAGAAGAUUGAGGGUUCGAGUCCCUUC
rnacentral:tRNA from 1 species